rnacentral:rRNA from 1 species
GGAUGAGCCCGCGGCCUAUCAGGUUGUUGGUGGGGUAAUGGCCUACCAAGCCUAUAACGGGUAACUGGUCUGAGAGGAUGGCCAGUCAGACUGGGACUGAGACACGGCCCAGACUCCUACGGGAGGCAGCAACUAGGAAUUAUGCGCAAUGGACGAAAGUCUGACGCUGCGACGUCGCGUGGAGGAUGAAGAUUCUAGGAUUGUAAACUCCUUUUAUUGGGGAACAAGUUCUGAGUGUACCCAAUGAAUAAGUGCCUGCUAACCACGUGCCAGAAGCAUCGGUAAUACGUGGGGCACAAGCGUUAUCCGGAUUUACUGGGCGUAAAGAGAUGCGUAGGUGUCCAAAUAAGUUCCAUGUAAAAUCUUCAUGCUCACCAUGAAAACUGCGUGGAAAACUAUUCGGAUUGAGUCAGAUAGAGGAAAGGGGAAUUCCUGGUGGAGCGGUUAAAUGCGUUGAUAUCAGGAGGAACACCAAUGGCGAAGGCACCUUUCUGGAUCUGUACUGACACUAAGGCUCGAAAGCGUGGGGAGCAAAACGGAUUAGAUACCCGUGUAGUCCACGCCGUAAACGAUCCUCGUUAGAUUUUUGUCUAAGCUCUGUUAAUUUUUCCUUCGGGAAAGGUUUAGGGCCUGAUGGGAGUCGCAGCUAACGCGGUAAACGAGGCGCCUGGGAAGUACGGCCGCAAGGCUAAAACCCAAAGGAAUUGACGGGGACCCGCACAAGCAGUGGAGCGCCUGGUUUAAUUCGAUGAU